rnacentral:rRNA from 1 species
CAGUACCGUGAGGGAAAGGCGAAAAGAACCCCUGUGAGGGGAGUGAAAUAGAUCCUGAAACCGUAUACGUACAAGCAGUGGGAGCAGACUUGUUCUGUGACUGCGUACCUUUUGUAUAAUGGGUCAGCGACUUACUGUCAGUAGCAAGGUUAACCGUUUAGGGGAGCCGUAGGGAAACCGAGUCUUAAUAGGGCGUUUAGUUGCUGGGAGUAGACCCGAAACCGGGCGAUCUAUCCAUGGCCAGGUUGAAGGUUGAGUAACAUCAACUGGAGGACCGAACCCACGUAUGUUGAAAAAUGCAGGGAUGAGCUGUGGAUCGGAGUGAAAGGCUAAUCAAGCCCGGAGAUAGCUGGUUCUCCUCGAAAGCUAUUUAGGUAGCGCGUCAUGUCUCACCAUUGGGGGUAGAGCACUGUUUCGGCUAGGGGGUCAUCCCGACUUACCAACCCGAUGCAAACUCCGAAUACCUGUGAGUACUAUCCGGGAGACACACGGUGGGUGCUAACGUCCAUCGUGAAGAGGGAAACAACCCAGACCGCCAGCUAAGGUCCCCAAAUACCAGUUAAGUGGGAAACGAUGUGGGAAGGCUCAGACAGCUAGGAGGUUGGCUUAGAAGCAGCCAUCCUUUAAAGAAAGCGUAAUAGCUCACUAGUCGAGUCGGCCUGCGCGGAAGAUGUAACGGGGCUCAAACUGGUUACCGAAGCUGCGGCUGUGCACGCAAGUGCACGGGGUAGGGGAGCGUUCUGUAAGCCUGCGAAGGUGUGUCGAGAGGCAUGCUGGAGGUAUCAGAAGUGCGAAUGCUGACAUGAGUAACGACAAUGGGGGUGAAAAACCCCCACGCCGGAAGACCAAGGGUUCCUGCGCAACGCUAAUCGGCGCAGGGUGAGUCGGCCCCUAAGGCGAGACCGAAAGGUGUAGUCGAUGGGAAACGGAUUAAUAUUUCCGUACCUUGGAUAGCUGCGAUGGAGAGACGGAGAAGGCUAGGUGAGCCGGGCGACGGUUGUCCCGGUUUAAGCAUGUAGGCAGUGGGAUUAGGCAAAUCCGGUCCCACAAUGCCGAGACGCGACGACGACUGCCCUUUUAGGGCGGGAAGUCAUUGAUGCCCUGCUUCCAGGAAAAUCUUCUAAGCUUCAGGCUAUUCGAGACCGUACCCCAAACCGACACAGGUGGUCAGGUAGAGAAUACCAAGGCGCUUGAGAGAACUCGGGUAAAGGAACUAGGCAAAAUGGUGCCGUAACUUCGGGAGAAGGCACGCCGGUGGUAUGUGACGCCCUUCGCGGGUUGAGCAGAAGCCGGUCGAAGAUACCAGGCCCCUGCGACUGUUUAUUAAAAACACAGCACUGUGCAAACACGAAAGUGGACGUAUACGGUGUGACGCCUGCCCGGUGCCGGAAGGUUAAUUGAUGGGGUUAGCGCUUGCGCGAAGCUCUUGAUCGAAGCCCCGGUAAACGGCGGCCGUAACUAUAACGGUCCUAAGGUAGCGAAAUUCCUUGUCGGGUAAGUUCCGACCUGCACGAAUGGCGUAACGAUGGGGGCGCUGUCUCUACCCGAGACUCAGUGAAAUUGAAAUCGCCGUGAAGAUGCGGUGUAUCCGCGGCUAGACGGAAAGACCCCGUGAACCUUUACUAUAGCUUCACAGUGAACUUUGAGCAUGUUUGUGUAGGAUAGCUGGGAGGCUUUGAAACCAGGACGCCAGUUCUGGUGGAGCCAACCUUGAAAUACCAGCCUGACCUGUUUGAGGUUCUAACUUCGACCCCUUAUCGGGGUUAAGGACACUGUGUGGUGGGUAGUUUGACUGGGGCGGUCUCCUCCCAAAGCGUAACGGAGGAGCACAAAGGUGGGCUAAGCACGGUCGGACAUCGUGCGGUUAGUGUAAUGGCACAAGCCCGCUUAACUGCGAGACAGACACGUCGAGCAGGUACGAAAGUAGGUCAUAGUGAUCCGGUGGUUCUGUAUGGAAGGGCCAUCGCUCAACGGAUAAAAGGUACUCCGGGGAUAACAGGCUGAUACCGCCCAAGAGUUCACAUCGACGGCGGUGUUUGGCACCUCGAUGUCGGCUCAUCACAUCCUGGGGCUGAAGCCGGUCCCAAGGGUAUGGCUGUUCGCCAUUUAAAGUGGUACGCGAGCUGGGUU